rnacentral:rRNA from 1 species
GACGUCAGAAUUCCAAGUGUAGCGGUGAAAUGCGUAGAUAUUUGGACGGAAUACCAGAGGCGAAGGCGACUCCCUGGGUAAUAACUGACACUGAGGUACGAAACGCUUGGGGACGCACAACAGGAUUAGAUACCCUGGUAGUCCAUGCUGUAAACGAUGUCAAUUUGAAGAUUGUACAUAUCAUCUAUUUCAUCAUACAUUCUCUCGUAGGCUAACGCAUUAAACUGACACGCCUGGGCGAUUACCGACCGAACAGGUUAAAACUCACAUGAAUUGCACGGGGACCCGCAACAAGCGGUGGAGCAUGUGGUCUAAAUUCGAUACCAAAC